rnacentral:misc_RNA from 1 species
AAGCAACCCAGAAAAAGUGAGCAAAUUUUUGCCUGAACCCCAAUUACAAUUGAUAGAUUUUGAUUGAAUCAGUGUUUGAUUGAGAUAAAGAAAAAAAAAUUAUGGCUAAUUUGUAUGUAAAGGCAGUGCCUCCGGCGGAUCUGAACCGGAACACAGACUGGUUUAUGUACCCUGGAGUAUGGACCACCUAUAUACUCAUCCUCUUCUUCUCAUGGCUUGUUCUCACCGCUUUUGGCUGCUCUCCUGGCAUGGCUUGGACCGUCGUCAAUCUAUCCCACUUUAUUGUCACAUACCACUUCUUCCAUUGGAAGAAAGGAACUCCAUUUGCAGAUGAUCAGGGGAUGUACAAUCAAUUGACUUGGUGGGAGCAAAUAGACAAUGGGAAGCAGCUCACUCGUAACAGAAAAUUCUUAACCGUUGUGCCUGUCGUGCUGUACUUGAUAGCCUCACAUACAACUGAUUACCAACAACCAAUGCUCUUCUUCAAUACCAUUGCUGUGACUGUGCUGGUUGUUGCCAAAUUCCCCAAUAUGCACAAGGUCCGAAUCUUCGGAAUUAAUGGGGAUCCGUAAAUGGUUCUUUCUUCUUUUUUUGUUUCCAGUUUGUGUUUCUCAACAUCUAAGCUUUGUCAUUCUCCUGCUGUUCUGCGUAAAGCUCGUCUCUGUAUAGAAGUCAGGACAGGAAAGUGUACUUGCUGCGUUAGUGCUAAUGUCUUUUACAACUGCUUCUCUAGAUAGUGAAGCAAUAAAAAUGUAACAAGUUUUCUGUACAGUGUAAUUUUCCUUGUAAACUUUAUAUGAGUACUAUAAUUAGUUCAAUC